ACUCAAAGGAAUUGACGGGGGCCCGCACAAGCAGUGGAGCAUGUGGUUUAAUUCGAUGCAACGCGAAGAACCUUACCUGGGCUCGAAAUGCAGAGGGAGAUGCCAGAAAUGGCUUCGUCCGCAAGGACUUCUGUAUAGGUGCUGCAUGGCUGUCGUCAGCUCGUGCCGUGAGGUGUUUGGUUAAGUCCAGCAACGAGCGCAACCCUUAUCAUUAGUUGCCAACACGUAAGGUGGGGACUCUAAUGAGACUGCCUAGGUUAACUAGGAGGAAGGCGAGGAUGACGUCAAGUCCGCAUGGCCUUUAUGUCCAGGGCUACACACGUGCUACAAUGGUCGGUACAGAGGGCUGCAAGACCGUAAGGUGGAGCAAAUCCCAGAAAGCCGAUCUCAGUUCAGAUUGUGGACUGCAACUCGUCCACAUGAAGUCGGAAUUGCUAGUAAUGGCGUGUCAGCAACAACGCCGUGAAUACGUUCCCGGGCCUUGUACACACCGCCCGU
rnacentral:rRNA from 1 species